rnacentral:rRNA from 1 species
UACGGAGGGUGCAAACGUUGCUCGGAAUCAUUGGGCGUAAAGCGCACGUAGGCGGCCCAGCAAGUCGGGUGUGAAAGCCCUCGGCUUAACCGAGGAAGUGCAUUCGAAACUACUGAGCUUGAAUACUGGAGAGGAUCGCGGAAUUCCCGGUGUAGAGGUGAAAUUCGUAGAUAUCGGGAGGAACACCAGUGGCGAAGGCGGCUAACUGGUCCAGAUCUGACGCUGAGGUGCGAAAGCGUGGGGAGCAAACAGG